rnacentral:rRNA from 1 species
CCUACGGGUGGCAGCAGUGAGGAAUAUUGGUCAAUGGACGAGAGUCUGAACCAGCCAAGUAGCGUGAAGGAUGACUGCCCUAUGGGUUGUAAACUUCUUUUAUAAAGGAAUAAAACGAGGCACGUGUGCCUUUUUGCAUGUACUUUAUGAAUAAGGAUCGGCUAACUCCGUGCCAGCAGCCGCGGUAAUACGGAGGAUCCGAGCGUUAUCCGGAUUUAUUGGGUUUAAAGGGAGCGUAGAUGGGUUGUUAAGUCAGUUGUGAAAGUUUGCGGCUCAACCGUAAAAUUGCAAUUGAUACUGGCAGUCGUGAGUACAGUUGAGGUAGGCGGAAUUCGUGGUGUAGCGGUGAAAUGCUUAGAUAUCACGAAGAACUCCGAUUGCGAAGGCAGCUUACUAAACUGUGACUGACAUUGAUGCUCGAAAGUGUGGGUAUCAAACAGGAUUAGAUACCCUUGUAGUC